rnacentral:lncRNA from 1 species
AAUCAUAUUCACGUAGCACCGGAAAUCCUGCUGCCACAAGAGCGGUCGCGAAGCACGUAAGAUGUGUUCAAUUAGAUAAAGACAAUUAUUUCUCAUGGGAAAAUCAAUUUUCGGCAAUGCUACGGGGAUUUGAACUCAUGGGAUACGUCGAAGGUGAAAUUUUGAACUCAACACUCCGUCGACUCGCCAACAAGAUCAGCUUAUCCUAAGCUGGAUCUUGAUAGGGAUUUCAACUUCUAUCCUUCCACAGGUCGUGGCCUGCAAGACAUCCGCGACAAUAUGGAACACCUUGAAAAGAAUGUACGUCUCCAGCACUUUGGCGAGGCAGUUACAUCUAAGAUUGCAGCUGCAAACCACGAAGAAGGGAGGCAUGACGAUGAAAGAUUUUCUUGCUAAUUAAGAUUUCAAUCCUAAAAGAUUCGCUAGCUGCAACCGGAGAGGUCUUGAAAGAAAAAGAGGUGAUUUUAAUUGUUUAAAAGGUCUUGGGGAUGAAUAUGAAUCAUUUGUGACAUCUGAUAGUACAAGGUUCAACACACAGACCAUAGUACUAAAAGACGUAUCCCAAGAUAUCUAAAACGCAGAGGAGGGGGGAAUACUGGUGAUACAGUAUCCCAAACCCGGGCACAACUUACCAUCAACUAGAAGUCUGGAUAGCCUAAGAUGAGUUGAGGUACCUAUUUUAGGGUUGGGGAGGUCCCAAGUCGAAUCCUAGGAAGAUCGACUUUCUUGAGGAUCGACUUCCCUGAGAUCGACUUCUGGAUAAAGUCGAUCACCAGGAAAGUCGAUCCCCAGAAAAUCGAUCUCUGGAAAGUCGACCUUGGGCCCCGAUCUGAUCAGUUAGGCAGUUAGGCGGUUACUGUCCAAAUGAUCAGAUUACCCCCAUAAGAAUCCCUAUAAAUAGGAGGCAUCCCCCACUCAUUAAAGGCAGGUCAUUUGGAGUAGAAAAUGUCCUAGCGAAGCAGAGCUCUGUGCAUUUGAGUUCCGGUCCGAUUUCCCGCGGAGUUCCCCGCUUGGCGCUUGCUUGCGCGUCUUGGAGUACUGGUCGAGUUUCACCCCCAUCAACAUCUAUUACAACUAGGUACGAUCACUCAAUGACUUUCAUUAUAUUGUGCGAACUCCUGAUCGACUAUGAGGCAAGGGUUCAAGGCUCAAGAAGUUCGGCGACCGUGAAUGUUGUAGCAAAAACACACAAAUCCGGACGAAUAUCAGAUGCAAAAUUGGACGGUGACUCAUCAUUUGGCAACGUCAAAUGCCAAAUCUACAACAGGAAAGCUCACUCUGCCCUAAAUUGCUACCAUCGGUUUAACAUUAAGAAAUACAGACCGACACAUACUCGUGAGCUCAUAGCUGAUGGACCAAAUGGUGGAAAUCGAUCUGCUCGGAAAGAAGAAUCUGCAACACUCUCCGCAAAUACAUUUUCUGAUUCUUCAAUGUCUCUUUGGUUCCCCGACACCGACGCAAUUUCUCAUAUAACUCCUACCGCCGAUAAUAUUAUUCAGUCCCCAAGACAAUUCACAGCUGAUGGGAGAGUAUUCCAAAAGACAACUUCAAAAAUUCUUUCUUGAUGAAAGAUUUGUUACACGUACCAUCGGCUACACGCAACUUAUUAUCUGUUAAUAGAUUUUGUGUCGAUAUAUAACAAUUUUUCUGUUAAUUUUAAUUCAAAGAAAGUGCAGGUCUGGAAUCCGUUUACUAAUGAGGUGCUGAUGGAGGGACGUGCGUCUGGUGGACUGUAUGAAUUGCCUUUAGAUCUUGAAUGUGUUGGUACGACACUAAAUUGUAGUUUGAUUCCUCAUUAUAUCUGGCACUGUCGAUUAGGCCAUUUAAAUUCGAAAUUCAUGUAUGUAAUAAUCAAGAAUGGGUCAAUAAAAACUGCUUUGAACAAUAAUGAAAUUUGUGAUUAUUGUUAUACCGGC